rnacentral:rRNA from 1 species
GGCUUAACACAUGCAAGUCGAGGGGUAGCAGGGUAGCAAUACCGCUGACGACCGGCGCACGGGUGAGUAACACGUAUCCAACCUUCCCAUAACUCGGGGAUAGCCUUUCGAAAGAAAGAUUAAUACCCGAUAGUACUUAUAUAAGGCAUCUUAAAUAGGUUAAGGAUUUAUUGGUUAUGGAUGGGGAUGCGUUCCAUUAGAUAGUUGGUGAGGUAACGGCUCACCAAGUCUUCGAUGGAUAGGGGUUCUGAGAGGAAGGUCCCCCACAUUGGUACUGAGACACGGACCAAACUCCUACGGGAGGCAGCAGUGAGGAAUAUUGGUCAAUGGGCGAGAGCCUGA